UUUUCUGCCACAAGGAGCCGCAAAGACGCAUUCCUAUCACUCCCACCUCUAAAUGCAGUCUAGAGCACUAUAGGCGUGAGAUCAAUGAUUAGGAAAUACUGUGUGUCAUAAACAGUGGUAAGGGCAGUUCUGUAUAAUUUAUUAGAAUCUGUUUAACACAUGGGUGGAGAUAUUCAGCUCACGUUUAUUAUUUUCUGUCACGAUGUUAACCCCCACAUUCUUAAUUAGACUGUUAGUUUGGUAACCCAGUAGUUAAUUUAAUUUGCAUUAGAGGACAUAGAUUAGAACAUUGUUAAUGCAGUGCCACAAGUCAAGGAAAUAUUGAACAUGAUUCUUCACUCAGAGGGAGAGCUCCUCCCAGCAAGCUGCAUUUGAAGAUUUCACAUUUGUGUGGACAGUGACGGUGGUUCGUCGCAAUUUCCUUUUCCUCUUUAAACCAAAGUUAUCUCAGUUGAACCAUAAAUACAUUCUCAACACACAUGGCAACUAUCUGUAUGAAGUGACCUCAAAUUCCAGAAACACACUUUUGCAUAUCAUCUAAAAGCUUAUUCAUAUAUUUAAUGUGUGACAAAGGCAGAAUGAUCUCCCUUCUAUUUUUGUGGUGCCUACCAGGUGGAUGUUUGGGUCUUGAAGUCCGUCUGUCUCCCUCUGAGCUCAUCACAAACCCUGGUGACAAAGGGCAGAUUUCCUGCAGCCAUGAUAAGACUGACUACACACUGAUGCGCUGGUACCAGCAGUCACCUGGAGACACAGCUAUGAAACUGAUUGGAUAUUUGAACUACGACAAAGAUACUAUGGAAGAGCCAUAUAAAGAGGAUUUCAGUAUUGCUGGAGAUCUGAGUGGGAGCACAGCAAAGAAUGGCUCUCUCAUAAUCAAACGUGUCAAAGAAAAUCACAGUGCAGUUUACUACUGUGCAGCCAGCUAUGCACAGUGACUGCAGUCUGUGUCUCCUUUAUACAAAAACUACUGAAUCUUAUCCACGUUCUGGUUUCAAAUGACACCUUGAACAGACUCCUCCCAGCCAGCUGCAUUUGCUCUCAAGCUUCCAUCUCUGCCUGCUAAUGUGCAGCCCAGUGAGGAUGUUUCUUCAUCACUUUCCUUUCCUCUUCACACCUCACUCAGCUCAGUGGAGGCAUCAACUCAGUCUGCAUCUCUCACAGAUUAACACUCAUUCUGAUCUGCUAAGCUUUGUCAUAUGUGGUCCAACAGGUCAUGUGAAGGUUUCAAGUAACUGCUUUUAUUUUUGAAGGAGGACAAAAUGAUCUACUUUCUCCUCGUCUGUUGUGUGGCAGGUGGAUGUUUGGGUCUUGAGGUCCGUCAGUCUCACUCUGAUCUCAUCACAAACCCUGGUGACAAAGUGCACAUUUUCUGCAGGCAUGAAAAGACUGACUACUGGGUGAUGCUCUGGUACCAGCGGUCACCAGGAGACACAGCUAUGAAACUGAUUGGAUAUUUAUACAACGACAAAGAUACUAUGGAAGAGUUGUAUAAAGAAGAUUUUAACAUCGCUGGAGAUCUGAGUGGGAGCACAGCAAAGAAUGGCUCUCUCAUAAUCAAAGAUGUCAAAGAAAAUCACAGUGCAGUUUACUACUGUGCAGCCAGUGAAGCACACUGACAAAAAUCCCCUCUGAACUUUACAAAAACUCUUCACCAUCUUUUAUCAGGGUUUGAACCAACUGCUCUCUGACACCUGCUUUUGUGGUUGUGUUUUGGUUUGAUGCAGUCACAUCACCAUCAGUCAAUUUUUUUGUGGUUUAUUCUAAUUUAACCAAAUUCGACUAAAAUGUAGCGAGAUCUGCCAAAAGAAGAACAUUUCUGUUGGUCAGUCGGGUGAAAGGAAGAGCGUUCAUCAGUUUGAUAUGAAACUAGAUGAAGCCACUCCUCCUUUCCACAUCACAUUUGCUUCACACUGAAAUGCGACUCAGUUUAGUGAGGAAGCACAAACGGCCUGUCAUCAUUAAGCACUUAACUCAGUGCUCCAUGUCAGAUCUCUACGUGAUGAUUAAAUUCCUCUUCUGCUGUUUCCUCACAGGUAACAACAGCUUCAUUCUCAACUAAGAUGUCCUGCACUGUUUACCUUCUCAUCUAAACUCAGUCUGUCCAUCUCUGCUUACAGCAGGUAUUUCUCUGGGGAUUCAGGUCCAUCAGUCUCCUCCUGCUGUCAUCAGAAAGGCUGGUGAAGACGUGCAGCUUAUCUGCACUCA